CCUCCGUCGUUCCACUCUCAGUCAUUUUUAAUAGCGGCUUGAUCAAAAGACAAGGAAAGCAAACCACCUGAAAUACUUCAGACCGGUACUCCCACCUUCACCAGCACAGCUACAAGAUAAGCAUUUUGAAUUCAGCCAAUAAAUCAACUGUGGGUUAUUAACAGCACCUCCUUCACUUUGUUAGUGUGGACAAUAGUGAGCUGACUAGUGGAAUAUGGAGAGCCAUAAAGAAGUGGACCUAUUUUAAUGCAGGUUUAUCAAUUAACCAGACGGUUUUCUACAGAUGAAUAGGAGAAAGCAGGUUUACACUGACUGUAUAGUGUAAUUUCGGUGGGAUUCAGUAGAUGGCACAAAAGAGCUUCCCCGCCCCCCUCUGCAACAUUAAAUGUGGUUACCAAAUAAAUGUUUGAGGAAGUACUUGAUUUUCCUACAGACUGCCAGCAUGACAGAAGGACAGGUCAUCUCGAGUCUUCAUGAGUGGUGAUGGAGGGGCAUCCCAACCCUCUUCUAUGUUUGAAGAAGUCAGGACCACCAAGGCAUCAUCGGGCACCUCUGUGAAAGGGAUCUGUAUCUGUAUCAAGAUACUCUGAAGAAUAGCAACUACCCUUG
rnacentral:lncRNA from 1 species